AUACGUAGGGGGCGAGCGUUGUCCGGAAUUACUGGGCGUAAAGGGCGCGUAGGCGGUCUAAUAAGUCAGAUGUGAAAUUCUUGGGCUUAACCCAGGAUGUGCAUUUGAAACUGUUGGACUUGAGGGCAGGAGAGGAAAGCGGAAUUCCCAGUGUAGCGGUGAAAUGCGUAGAUAUUGGGAGGAACACCAGUGGCGAAGGCGGCUUUCUGGACUGAACCUGACGCUGAGGCGCGAAAGCCAGGGGAGCGAACGGGAUUAGAUACCCCGGUAGUCCUGGCCGUAAACGAUGGAUACUAGGUGUGGGAGGUAUCGACCCCUUCCGUGCCGGAGCAAACGCAAUAAGUAUCCCGCCUGGGGAGUACGGCCGCAAGGCUGAA
rnacentral:rRNA from 1 species